rnacentral:rRNA from 1 species
UAUGUAGGGUGCGAGCGUUGUCCGGAAUUAUUGGGCGUAAAGGGCUCGUAGGCGGUUUGUCGCGUCGGGAGUGAAAACCUUGGGCUUAACUCAGGGCUUGCUUUCGAUACGGGCAGACUAGAGGUAUGCAGGGGAGAACGGAAUUCCUGGUGUAGCGGUGAAAUGCGCAGAUAUCAGGAGGAACACCGGUGGCGAAGGCGGUUCUCUGGGCAUGAUCUGACGCUGAGGAGCGAAAGUGUGGGGAGCGAACAGG